rnacentral:rRNA from 1 species
UGCAGUCGAGCGCGGGAAGCAAGCAGAACCCCUUCGGGGGUGACGCAUGUGGAACGAGCGGCGGACGGGUGAGUAACACGUGGGCAACCUGCCUGUAAGACUGGGAUAACUCCGGGAAACCGGGGCUAAUACCGGAUAAUACGUUUUCUUGCAUAAGGAGACGUUAAAAGGCGGCGUAAGCUGUCACUUACAGAUGGGCCCGCGGCGCAUUAGCUAGUUGGUGGGGUAAAAGCCUACCAAGGCGACGAUGCGUAGCCGACCUGAGAGGGUGAUCGGCCACACUGGGACUGAGACACGGCCCAGACUCCUACGGGAGGCAGCAGUAGGGAAUCUUCCGCAAUGGACGAAAGUCUGACGGAGCAACGCCGCGUGAGUGAAGAAGGUUUUCGGAUCGUAAAACUCUGUUGUUAGGGAAGAACAAGUGCCGUUCAAAUAGGGCGGCACCAUGACGGUACCUAACCAGAAAGCCCCGGCUAACUACGUGCCAGCAGCCGCGGUAAUACGUAGGGGGCAAGCGUUGUCCGGAAUUAUUGGGCGUAAAGCGCGCGCAGGCGGUCUUUUAAGUCUGAUGUGAAAGCCCACGGCUUAACCGUGGAGGGCCAUUGGAAACUGGAGGACUUGAGUACAGAAGAGGAGAGUGGAAUUCCACGUGUAGCGGUGAAAUGCGUAGAGAUGUGGAGGAACACCAGUGGCGAAGGCGACUCUCUGGUCUGUAACUGACGCUGAGGUGCGAAAGCGUGGGUAGCGAACAGGAUUAGAUACCCUGGUAGUCCACGCCGUAAACGAUGAGUGCUAGGUGUUAGGGGGUUUCCGCCCCUUAGUGCUGCAGUUAACGCAUUAAGCACUCCGCCUGGGGAGUACGGGCCGCAAGGCUGAAACUCAAAAGAAUUGACGGGGACUUCGCACAAGCGGUGGAGCAUGUGGUUUAAUUCGAAGCAACGCGAAGAAUCUUACCAGGUCUUGACAUCCUCUGACGGCCCUAGAGAUAGGGAGUUCCCUUCGGG